rnacentral:lncRNA from 12 species
AUUUCAGUUUCGUAUGCUCUGACAAUGAACGCAAACAUUUUUUCAUUUCUCACACUCUACUGCAGAAACAUCCUCAUAAGAAUCAGGUUGGUUGAGAAAGUCAUAUUGGUAGUAGGAGGGAAGGAAAUGGAAAGAGAAAUCCUGAUCUGAAGGUGUUAGUCCUACAUUUUCAUUGCUGGAUUUCUAUCUCUCCUGUUCUUUCUCAGAAUGGAUUGUAACAAAUGGUAUGUACUAUAAAAAACUUAGCUCAA